rnacentral:rRNA from 1 species
AACGUAGGUGACAAGCGUUAUCCGGAUUUACUGGGCGUAAAGCGCGUUCAGGCGGUUUGGCAAGUCGGGCAUGAAAUCUCCUGGCUCAACCAGGAGGCGCUGUCCGAUACUUCCAGACUUGAGGGCAGUAGAGGGUGGUGGAAUUCCGGGUGUAGUGGUGAAAUUCGUAGAUAUUCGGAAGAACACCAGUGGCGAAGGCGGCUCACUGGACCGGCAUUGACGCUGAGGUGCGAAAGCGUGGGGAGCAAACAGG